CCUUGCCUCACGGAUUUUGCCUUCUUGCCUGCCCCUUGUCUGAUGGAUUGGAUUUCUGGAUUUUGUCUCUGUUUCUGUCCCUGGAUUUACGCCUCAGCCUAACCACUGGUUUAUUCAGCCUGAGCCCGCCUGGCUCUCUAGUCCACCAGGAAUUAUUGUCAAGAGGACAAUCACAGCUCUCUGUGUUCCUGCUUCAGCUGAUUCCUCGGAGGAUAUGGACCAGUCGGCAAUCCGACUUCAGUCUGUUGGACGCUUCCUCAUUAACUGUCUGGAUCACUUCCUCUUCUGGAUUCUGUGCCUCAUCCCCAGACUGAGAAGUGGUUCCUGGAAGCUGACUGCUGUUCUCCUGCUCUCUGAUCCUGAGUUUCUGAAUAAACCUUUUAACUUAUCACUUUGUUUGGCUGAAUUUGGGUUCUCUGUCUCUGGUCGUGAUAGAGACACAGAGACAGCAACAUGUAGAAAGUUUGUCUGACUUUUUACUAACUGAAAGAGAAAGAUGUUACAUGUCACCCUGUUUCCACUGACUGUGGUUCUGACCCAGUUUGGACCUGUUUUGUGUGACAGGUUGUGAGCCCUGCUCCAACCAGAAUAACCCAGACAGACCACCUGAUGGUUUAGAUUAUUUAUUGGAGUCAUAUAAACCAUGGGUGUGAGUAGAAAAUGUAGUUAAAUCAUCAGUUGUCAAAGUGGGUGAGAAAUGUUCAGUGGUUCUUUUGUUUGUUUACCAAACGACCAAAACUGCAGAAGACGAAAAUGACAAAGGGUGGAAAUGCACAGCAAACUUCUGCAACACUUUUCUAGGGACAAAGGAUAAAAAAACUGGCUUUGGAUAAACUGUCAAAUUUAGUGAAGGUUUAAUUGCUUUACUCAAAUAAAUUUAAGUGUAUUUCUAAUUCAUAAAAAGAUGGAAAUAAA